UGGGGAAUAUUGCACAAUGGGGGAAACCCUGAUGCAGCGACGCCGCGUGAGCGAUGAAGGCUUUCGAGUCGUAAAGCUCUGUCCUAUGGGAAGAUAAUGACGGUACCAUAGAAGAAAGCCCCGGCUAAUUACGUGCCAGCAGCCGCGGUAAUAUGUAAGGGGCGAGCGUUUUCCGGAAUUAUUGGGCGUAAAGAGUGCGUAGGCGGCAAAUUAAGUCAGAUAUGAAACCUAAGGGCUCAACCCAUAGAUUGCAUAUAAAACUGAUAUGCUUGAGUGAAGGGGAAGAAGGUGGAAUUCCUAGGGUAGCGGAGGAAUGCGUAGAUAUUAGGAGGAAUACCGGUGGAAAAAGCGACUUUCUGGGCUUGAACUGACGCUGAGGCACGAAAGCGUGGGGAGCAAACAGG
rnacentral:rRNA from 1 species